AAGUUAGAGAGCUUGAUGACUUAGUGUCGUUGGGCACCACCUAGAAUUGUUGGACGUAAGAAUUCAAAUUAAAUCUUAGCAGCUCCAAUGGUACUUUCACUAGCAUUGGGCGUCGUUUGGCUAACACCAGGUGCAAUUAUUUUAGAGGAAUCCUUGGUGGAAUUGUGUUGGGUAGAGAUUUUUUUAAUUGUUUAGAAUUUCAUUAGUGAUUACAAUAUGUAUAUUCAUCUAUGAUAAAAUGAGAUAAUGGUAAUUAAUUGUUGUCAACACCUAAUUUUGUCCAGAUAAAUAAAGUUCAUCACAAAAAUAAAGAAUAAAAAUAAAGAUAAUACUAUUUGUUUUACUGUUUGCAUCCCUAAAUUAACUUUUUAACCCUUAGCCCAAUGACCCAAAAUAAUCCAAUACUUUUUACUUCUUCACCACUUUUUUUUUUUCUUUUUCACACCCCACUCUCCAUAUCACCCUCCACAUUACCUUCCACACCAUCCACCUUUUUUUAUCUACUCUUUCCACCUCAUUUUUAUAUUAAUUUUUAUAUACUAACUUUCUAAUUAUUCCACUUACUAUUUUAAAUUUUAUUUUAUCCACCACAUUUCCACCAACUUUUUUUAUUAUUUCUUUUAUCCAUUUUUUCCAUUUACUUUUCCACCCCUUUUUAUAUUAAUUUCUCUUACUAACUUUUAUUUAUACCAUUCACUUUUCUAAAUUAUAUUUUAUCCACCACAUUCUCCACCAACCUUUUUUUAUUAUUUCCUUCAUCCACUUCUUCAUCCACUUUUCCACCCUACUUUAUUUUUGUCAAUUUCUCACACUAACUUUUUUAUUCCAUUCACUUUUCUAAAUUAUAUUUUAUCUACCACCUUUUCCACCAAUCUUAUUUUAUUAUUUCCUUCAUAUAUUUUCUUCCUCUACUCUUUCCACUCAUAUUUUAUAUUAUUUUUCUUUACCAACUUUGUUUGCCUAAUUUCCCCCAUUAAUUCUUUUACUUAUUUUCUACAUUAACUUUUUCUAUUAAAUUUUUUUAUUAUAUUUUAUUUCACCUAAUUUCUCCACCCACUUUUUAUAUUAUUUCUUUCAUUUAUUUUCCACACUAACUUUUACUAUUUACAUUUUUAUUAUAUUUUAUUUCAUCUAAUUUUUCCACCCACUUAUUAUAUUAUUUUUAUUCAUUAACUUUCUUCAUCCAUAACUCUAUAAAUACCCAUACACUCGUCACUCCAUUUUUACACAUAGUCAUACAAUAUCCAUCUCUUCUCUCCCAUACCACAUAUCUUUCCACAUAUUUCUUCUUUCCCAUACUAUCACUCUUCCAUAACACACACACACCACAUAUCUUCACACACACUCAUAUCUUCUCUCUCCACUCCAUCAUCAAACACUUCAACACAUCCUCUCUUCCAUAUCAACAUUUUCAUCUCCUAAAGCUUCCAUUUUCACUUGCAUUUUGAUUGGACUAUCCUUGUCUUCUCAUCUAAGUUCUUAUCCCUUCACCUCUUCUUUUUUAGUUUGAAUUAUCUUGUUAAACUUUGUUUUAUUGUUCCAUAAUUGCUUUUAUUGUUUUUAAUUCUACAUUUUCUUUUAUAGACCAUUUUGUUUUUUUUUUCUUAAUAAAAGAUCACAAAAAUAUUGAUUAUCAUGUCAAAUCUCAAAUUUGCUUGAUAAUUGAAUUUUUCAUAAUAAUAAUUAGGCUUAAUAUCUCCCUUGAU
rnacentral:lncRNA from 1 species